rnacentral:rRNA from 1 species
CGUAGGCGGCUUGUUAAGUGUGAAGUGAAAUCUCUGGGCUCACCCAGAAACUGCUUCGCAUACUGACAGGCUUGAGGGAUGAAGAGGUGAAUGGAAUUCCAGGUGUAGCGGUGAAAUGCGUUGAUAUCUGGAGGAACACCCAUGGCGAAGGCAGUUCACUGGUCAUCUCCUGACGCUGAGGCGCGAAAGCGUGGGUAGCAAACA